UGGUGCGCAUGAGUCUCCGGGAGGGCUGCGAAGGUUUCCGGGAAGCCAGCCAAUGAUAUUCCCAACGCAAACUUAGUGGCGGCAUUUUCUACUGGAUAAAUUGGCCUUAGUCCCGCCUUCUCGUUGCAGAGUUUUGUGCGAAGGAAACCGAUGGGGAUCGGAACCGUAGCGGUGGAGCUGCAGCUGCUACGGCUAUCUGACCGAAGCCUUCGGUGGUUGUCGGCCUAAUGAGCGGACGGCAAAGAACGCUUUUUCAGACGUGGGGCUCAAGUAUCUGCCGAUCAUCUGGGGCUCCGGGUUGUAGCUCCGGAACUGAGCGACCUCAGAGCCCUGGCAGCUCCAAGGCGCCUUUGUCGGUAGCAGCGGAGGCUCAGCUGGAGUCGGACGAUGAUGUGUUGCUUGUCGCAGCGUACGAGGCUGAGCGGCAGUUGUGUCUAGAGAAUGGCGGGUUCUGCACCUCCGCAGGCGCCCUGUGGAUUUACCCUACCAAUUGCCCAGUGCGGGACUACCAGCUGCACAUCUCCCGGGCUGCUCUGUUCUGCAACACGCUGGUGUGUCUACCCACCGGACUGGGAAAGACCUUUAUUGCCGCCGUGGUCAUGUACAAUUUCUACCGCUGGUUCCCUUCAGGAAAGGUGGUCUUCAUGGCCCCAACGAAACCCUUGGUGACACAGCAGAUCGAGGCUUGCUACCAGGUGAUGGGUAUCCCGCAAUCCCACAUGGCCGAAAUGACAGGGUCUACACAAGCUUUCACCAGGAAGGAAAUAUGGUGCAGUAAGAGAGUCCUUUUUCUUACACCUCAGGUCAUGGUAAAUGACCUUUCUAGAGGAGCUUGUCCCGCUGCUGAAAUAAAGUGUUUAGUUAUUGAUGAAGCUCAUAAAGCUCUCGGAAACUAUGCCUAUUGCCAGGUUGUAAGAGAACUAGUCAAAUAUACAAAUCACUUUAGAAUCUUGGCUCUAAGUGCCACACCAGGUAGUGAUAUAAAGGCUGUGCAACAAGUUAUUACUAACCUGCUAAUUGGGCAGAUAGAGCUUCGUUCUGAAGAUUCUCCAGAUAUUUUGGCAUAUUCUUAUGAAAGAAAAGUUGAAAAGCUUAUUGUUCCGCUUGGUGAAGAACUCGCAGCCAUCCAAAAGACCUAUAUCCAGAUUUUGGAAUCAUUUGCUCGUUCUUUGAUUCAGAGGAAUGUUUUGAUGAGAAGGGAUGUCCCAAAUCUAACAAAAUACCAGAUAAUUCUGGCAAGAGAUCAAUUUAGGAAAAACCCAUCUCCGAAUAUUGUGGGAAUACAACAAGGCAUAAUCGAGGGAGAGUUUGCUAUUUGUAUUAGUUUAUAUCAUGGUUAUGAAUUAUUGCAGCAAAUGGGAAUGAGAUCAUUAUAUUUCUUCCUUUGUGGAAUUAUGGAUGGAACUAAAGGGAUGACACGGUCAAAAAAUGAACUUGGCCGAAAUGAAGACUUCAUGAAGCUCUAUAAUCAUCUAGAGUGUAUGUUUGCACAUACACGUAGUACUUCAGCAGAUGGUGUUUCUGCUAUCCAACAAGGAGAUAAAAAUAAAAAAUUUGUUUAUAGUCAUCCAAAGUUAAAGAAAUUAGAAGAAGUUGUAAUUGAACACUUCAAGUCAUGGAAUGCUGAAAACACUUCUGAAAAGAAACGUGAUGAGACCCGAGUUAUGAUCUUCUCUUCAUUUCGAGAUAGUGUUCAAGAAAUUGCAGAAAUGCUUUCACAGCAUCAGCCAAUUAUUAGAGUAAUGACUUUUGUCGGCCAUGCCUCAGGGAAAAGCACAAAGGGUUUUACCCAGAAGGAGCAACUGGAGGUAGUGAAACAGUUUCGUGAUGGUGGUUACAACACGUUGGUUUCUACCUGUGUGGGUGAAGAAGGUUUGGAUAUAGGAGAAGUUGAUCUUAUAAUAUGUUUUGAUUCCCAGAAGAGCCCAAUUCGUCUUGUACAACGAAUGGGUAGAACUGGCCGUAAACGUCAAGGCAGGAUAGUUGUUAUCCUUUCUGAAGGACGAGAGGAACGUAUUUAUAAUCAGAGUCAGUCCAACAAAAGAAAUAUAUGUAAAGCUAUUUCAAGUAACAGGCAGGUCCUUCAUUUUUACCAAAGAAGUCCACGAAUGGUUCCUGAUGGAAUCAACCCAAAAUUACACAAAAUGUUCAUCACACAUGGUGUCUAUGAACCAGAUAAGCCUUCUCGGAACUUGCGGCGAAAGUCAUCUAUCUUUUCCUAUAGGGAUGGAAUGAGUCAAAGUAAACUAAAGAAAGAUUGGUUCUUAUCAGAAGAAGAAUUUAAAUUAUGGAACAAACUUUAUAGAUUAAGAGACAGUGAUGAAAUUAAAGAGAUAACAUUGCCUCAAGUUCAGUUUUCUUCUUUACAAAAUGAGGAAAACAAACCAACUCAAGAAUCAGCCACUGGAAUUCGUCAACUCUCUCUCUCUGAAUGGAGACUGUGGCAAGAUCAUCCUUUACCUACACAUCAAGUUGAUCACUCAGAUCGAUGCCGCCAUUUUAUAGGCCUUAUGCAAAUGAUAGAGGGAAUGAGACAUGAAGAGGGAGAAUGCAGCUAUAAAUUGGAAGUUGAAUCUUAUUUACAAAUGGAAGAUGUUAGCUCAACAUUUAUUGCUCCCAGGAAUGAAUCUAAUAAUCUUGCCAAUGACACCUUUAUCACUCACAAUAAAUCGUCAUUUUUAAAGAACAUAAAUCAGAGCAGUUCGUCCUCAGUGAUAGAAUCUGAUGAAGAAUGUGCUGAAAUUUUUAAACAAACUCAUAUCAAACCUACUAAAAUUGUUUCUUUAAAGAAAAAAGUGUCUAAAGAAAUAAAAAAAGGUCAGCUUAAAAAAGAAAAUAAUCACGGGAUUAUAGAUUCUUUAGAUACUGACAGAAAUUCUACUGUUGAAAAUAUUUUUCAAGAAGACCUACCAAAUGAUAAAAGGACAUCAGAUACAGAUGAAGUUGCUGCCACAUGUACUAUUAAUGAAAAUGUUAUUAAAGAGCCAUGUGUAUUAUUAACUGAGUGUCAGUUUACAAACAAAUCCGCUAGUUCAUUUGCUGGAAAUGUUUUAGAUUCUGGUUAUAACAGUUUCAGUGAUGAAAAAUCUGUUUCAUCUAACUUAUUUCUUCCAUUCGAAGAAGAGCUUUAUAUUGUUGGAACAGACGAUCAAUUUUAUAAUUGUCACUCAUUGACAAAAGAGGUACUAGCUAAUGUAGAGAGAUUUUUAUCUCAUUCUCCUCCGCCUCUCAGUGGACUCUCAAACUUGGAAUAUGAAGUUGCUAAGGGUACUGCACUUGAGAAUUUGCUUUUCUUACCCUGUGCAGAGCAUUUACAAAGUGAUAAAUGCACCUGUUUGAUGUCACAUUCAGCUGUGAAUUCUCAACAGAAUUUAGAAUUGAAUUCACUUAAAUGUAUAAAUUAUCCGUCUGAAAAAAGUUGCCUUUAUGAUAUACCUAAUGAUAAUAUUUCUGAUGAGCCAAGCCUCUGUGACUGUGAUGUAUAUAAACAUAAUCAAAAUGAAAAUUUAGUACCUAACAAUCGUGUUCAAAUACACAGAGGCCCUGCACAGAAUUUAGUUGGAGAGAACAAUCAUGAUGUUGAUAACAGUGACCUCCCAGUAUUGUCCACUGAUCAAGAUGAAAGUUUACUAUUAUUUGAAGAUGUUAAUACAGAAUUUGAUGAUGUGAGUCUUGCACCCUUGAACAGUAAAAGCAAAUCUUUACAUGUGUCAGACAAAACUGCUAUUAGUGAAAUGCCUCUGGUCUCUCAGUUCUUGAUUUCUGAUGAACUUUUGUUGGACAAUAAUUCUGAACCCCAAGAUCAAAUCACCCGUGAUGAUAAUAGUUUUAAAUCUCAUGAUGAUCUGAGAAGUGUACAGGAAGAAAAAAUGAAGAAUCAUGAGGAUAUUUUUGAUGGCUCUAUGGAUUUAUUUUCUGUUACCUUUGAUUUAGGAUUCUGUAGUCCAGAUUCUGAUGAUGAAAUGUUGGAACAUACAUCAGAUAGCAAUAGACCUCUGGAUGAUCUAGAUGGAAGGUAUUUGGAAAUUAAGGAGAUAAAUGAUGCAAAUUAUGUUUCAAAUCAAGCACUAAUACCAAGAGAUCAUAGCAAAAAUUUUACUAGCGGAACUGUUAUUAUCCCAUCAAAUGAAGAUAUGCAGAAUCCAAAUUGUGUACAGUUACCACUGAGUGCAGCAAAAAAUAAAGAAUUAUUAUCUCCUGGUUAUUCUCAGUUUUCUUUACCAAUGCAAGAAAAAGUUAUGAGUACACCACUCUCUGAAUCAAACACAUUGAACUCAUUUUCUAAGAUAAGAAAGGAAAGACUUCAGACACCAGAUUCUAAUAAGGGAAAAAUAAAUCUACAAAGAUUCAAAGAAGCAUUGAAUUCAACUUUUGAUUAUUCAGAAUUUUCUCUAGAAAAGUCUAAAAGCAGUGGUCAAAUGUGUCUGCAUAAAUCCUGUCAUUCUGUUGAAGAUGGACAAUUAUUAACAAGUAAUGAAAGUGAAGAUGAUGAGAUUUUCCGAAGAAAAGUUAAAAAAGCAAAAGGAAAUGUUUUAAACUCUCCUGAGGAUCAGAAAAAUAGUGAAGUUGAUUCUCCACUUCAUGCUGUCAAAAAGCGCAGAUUUCCUGUAAACAGAUCAGAAUUAUCAUCUAGUGAUGAGAGUGAGAAUUUUUCCAAACCAUGUUCACAAUUAGAAGACUUCAGGGUUUGUAACAGGAAUGCCAGAAGAGGCAUCAGAGUCCGAAAGAGACAGAGUCACUUAAAGCAUGUAGCUAGGAAGUUUUUAGAUGAUGAAGCAGAACUUUCUGAAGAAGAUGCAGAAUAUGUUUCAUCAGAUGAAAAUGAUGAGUCAGAAAAUGAAGAAGAUUCCUCAUUACUUGACUUUUUAAAUGAUGAAACUCAACUUUCACAGGCUAUAAAUGAUGCUGAAAUGAGAGCUGUUUACAUGAAAUCUUUGCGUAGUCCAAUGAUGAACAAUAAGUACAAAAUGAUUCAUAAGACACAUAAAAACAUAAACAUUUUCUCACAGAUUCCUGAACAAGAUGAAACCUAUUUAGAGGAUAGUUUUUGUGUUGAUGAGGAGGAGUCUUGCAAAGGCCAAUCAAGUGAAGAAGAAGUUUGUGUUGAUUUUAACUUAAUAACUGAUGAUUGCUUUGCAAGUAGCAGUAAAAAGUAUAAAACCCGACGUGCAGUAAUGCUAAAACAAAUGAUGGAACAAAACUGUGCACAUUCAAAAAAGAAAUUAUCCAGAAUUAUUUUACCAGAUGAUUCAAGUGAGGAGGAGAACAAUGUAAAUGAUAAAAGAGAAUCUAAUAUUGCAGUUAACCCAAGCAUUGUUAAGAAGAACAAACAACGGGACUGUUGUUUAAAUUCAGUGCCUUCUGGAUCUUCUCUGCAUUCCAAAGUGCAUUCUAAUCCAGUAGUUAAUCAAUCACCAAAGCAGAGCAAACAGACAUCACUUAAUUUAAAGGAUACAAUUUCUGAAGUCUCAGACUUCAAACCUCAGAAUCAUAAUAAAGUCCAGUCUACCACACCGCCCUUCACUACUGUUGAUUCACAGAAAGACUGUAGAAAAUUUCCAAUUCCACAGAAGGAUGGUAGUGCUUUGGAGGAUUCUAGCACUUCAGGGGCAUCCUGUUCCAAUUCAAGACCACAUUUAGCUGGGACACAUACUUCUCUUAGACUUCCACAGGAAGGAAAAGAAACCUGUAUUCUUGUAGGUGGUCAUGAAAUAACUUCUGGAUUAGAAGUAAUUUCUUCCCUAAGAGCAAUUCAUGGGCUGCAAGUAGAAGUUUGUCCUCUUAAUGGCUGUGAUUACAUCGUGAGUAACCGCAUGGUGGUGGAAAGGAGGUCUCAGUCUGAGAUGUUAAAUAGUGUCAAUAAGAACAAGCUCAUUGAGCAGAUCCAGCACCUGCAGAGUAUGUUUGAAAGAAUAUGUGUGAUUGUGGAAAAGGACAGAGAAAAAACAGGAGACACAUCAAGGAUGUUUAGGAGAACAAAAAGCUAUGACAACCUGCUGACUACCCUAAUUGGCGCUGGAAUCCGAAUUCUUUUCAGUUCCUGCCAAGAAGAAACUGCAGAUUUGCUAAAGGAACUGUCUUUAGUGGAACAAAGAAAGAAUGUUGGUAUUCAUGUUCCAACAGUGAUGAAUAGUAGUAAAAGUGAGGCACUCCAGUUUUAUUUAAGUAUUCCCAAUAUAAGUUAUAUAACUGCAUUAAAUAUGUGUCACCAGUUUUCAUCUGUGAAAAGGAUGGCUAACAGCUCACCUCAAGAAAUCUCCAUGUAUGCACAAGUAACUCAUCAGAAGGCUGAGGAGAUCUAUAGAUAUGUUCACUAUGUAUUUGACAUACAAAUGUUACCAAAUGAUCUUAACCAAGAUAGACUGAAAUCUGAUGCAUAAUCAAGCUGCUCAAAAUGGGGUUUUCAAAGAACUCUCACAAUAUUAAACGCACUUCAAUAAUCAUUGCUGUUUUGUGAUUGUUUGUUUGUAAAUAAGAGAAUAUUUCCUUAAAUAUAUUUUAUAUUGUAUAUUUUUAUUUAUAUAGAUUAUAUAAAUUAUUAAAAAAGAAAAAUCUGAUGUUCAGUGAUCAUUUUGACUAGAUUAUGAAACUAAUUUUUUUAUUAAAUAAAACAAGGUUUAUUAAAAGUGUUACUAAGGAUAGUUUAAGAAAGGAAAAGCUAAGCUAGAGAUAUACUUUGGAAUGUUUCCCAAGAUUAAAGUUGUACUGUUGUGAUAAAUAGUAAAGUUGAUAUGUCUGACUAGAGCCAACUUGUCAAUUUCUCCCAUGUAUAGAUAGUAUACUUUAAGUGUACUGAUUCUAAGUAUGUGUACUUGGUAAGGUGUGGGUGAUGGGUGGUUGUGAGAUAAAUGACCCACUAACUAGGAAAGUAGAAAACUUAACUGAAUGUUUAUCUGACCAGAGGUGCGUCCCAGUUAAGUACUGUCAAAUCUGUUAAUAUGAACUCUAAUAUGGUUUGGCUGUGUCCCCAACCAAAAUCUCAUCUUGACUUGUAAUCUGAAUUAUAAUCCCCAUAUGUUGGGGAGGGACCUCCUGGAAGGUGAUUAGAUCAUGGGGGCGGUUCCCCCAUGCUGUUCUCGUGAUAGUUUUCAGAGGAUCUGAUGGUUUUAUAAGGAGCUUUUCCUCUGUUCACUCUGCAGUUCUCUUGCCUAGUGCCAUGUGGAAAAGGAGACGUUGGCUUCCCCUCCACCAUGAUUGUAAGUUUCCUGAGGCCUCCCCAGCCAUGCAGAACUCUCCAUCCCACUGACUACGUUGGAAACAAGCCAUCAAGCCUAACCUCCCCUGGGCUUGAAACAGCUCUGGGUUGGAAACAAGCGUAACCUCCCCUGGGCCAUGAACACCAUUAGCUUCCUCCAGCUGGAAACAGCUAACCUUGACUGGUGACUUGUGGAAGUGGGAAUGUUACAGCAGGCAGCUAGUCAGGGAUAAGCAGGGAAUGAGCGGGCCUCCCCAUCCCCUACCAGGAAUGUUGUUAGGCAACCAUCCUAUGAUGGUCAGGUGGUUGUUAACUGUGUCUCUAAAAUAAUAAUUAAUCACAGCCAGCACCUGGGAAAGGCAAUCUCUCAAUAAACAGAAACACCUAAAAUUGGUGAUGAGCAGCUUCCUGAUAAGAUCUCAGAAGUUGGGCGAGUGGGCUCAAGCAUGUGCAUUAAGAGGCAAAAUGGAGGAGUUUAACUGGUAUAUGACGUCCUACAGACAUUCGACUGGUAAGGGAAGAAAGCCUCAAGUGAGCCUGUGUGCAAAUCCAGUAAACACACUGUAACUUGCUCCCCUCCCAAGUGCUAGCACACCACUGAGCAUGCAGACAGCCUACCCCAAAGUCAGAAUCAGGAGAGAAGGAACACACGACCCCCAGAAGCAUGCCAACUUAUAAAACCCCAAGUCACAAAGUUAAACCAUGCUUCAAGUCACUGGCUUGGCCCUCUUCUGAGAGUACUUUCCUUCCUUUGGUUCCUGCUUUAAAGUUUUUAAAUAAACUUUCAUUCCU